rnacentral:lncRNA from 10 species
ACGUACGAGUGUGUUUUGUGGAAACCACUGAGUAGUGCUCCGCGUGUCAAAGAAAAAUAUUCCCCUAAUGAGAAAACUGAGAAACGAGUGCAGAGAAUUAAUUCCAAAGUUUUAAAUUUUCCCAUUCGUGUCAUAGUUUGGGUACCCUACUCCUCAGACCCGGGGCGAGCCUUCGGCUGUGACUCAGCACAUAAAAAACCAGAACGCCGGAAGUAUUUUCCUACACCCGCCGGAUGGACGCUGCUCCCGAGCGCCGCAAAUACUAAUUGGCUCUUCUCUACCCUACAGUCGGCCCGACAGUGGUGGGGUUUCAUCCUCAAGCCCUAAGAAAGUGCUAAAAAGACCAGUCUGGAUGUGCUAACUCUUCUGUGUGAAAACGUUUUUUAGCUCCUCCAGCCUCCUGUUAAAUUCGGCCAAUUUUUAUCGAGCAGCUGCAGCGUCUGCUGCCUUCAAGUCUCCUUUCCCAGUUUUUCCCGCUAGCAGUGGUCUUUGGUUAGCAAUGUAAAAUGUGACGGAAAUACAAACAUAAAUGAAAGCUAAAAAGCAGCUGAAAUUAGUAAGAUGCACUAUACUGACACCAUGGGGUAAGAGAUCAUAGCUCAUACAUACGAAUGAGCGGGGAAAGACGUGAAGCAGGGAGAUGUGUUGAUAGUUACUGUAUCUUCAAGGUUUUCGAGGCCUCUUCUGAGUUCCAAAUGCAAGGAAUACAACCAUGAACAAAACAAAACUUGCCUUAGGCUGGGCGUGAUAGUGAUAGCUCACACCUAUAAUCCUAGUACUUUGGGAGGCCGAAGCGGGAGGAUUGCUUUGAGCCUGGGAAUUUGGUACCAGCCUGGACAACAUGGUGAGACCCCCGUCUGUACAAAAUUCUUUUUUAAAAUUAGCCAGGCUUGGUGAUGCGUGCAUGUGGUCCCAGCUACUCAGGAGGCUGAGGCAGGAGGAACGCUUGAGUCCAGGAGGUCGAGGCUGCAGUGAGCCGUGAUUGCAACACUGCACUCCAGCCUGGUUGACACAGUGAGACCCUGUCUAAACAACGACAACAAAAAUUUAAAGCCUUGCCUUGGGGGAGCUUGCAUCCUAAUGGGAAGGAACUGUAAAAUAUGUAAACUAAAGUAAAUCAGGCUUUUAAAUAAUUCAAGUUAGCUUUCUUCAGAAGUCUUAUUGAGGACUGCCACCUGGGAGAGUCAGAGAGUUUUUUUUUUAGACUGCUCCAAAGCAGUGUUUCAGCCCGCAGCUUCUAUACAGGUGGUGGCCGCUCUGCAUGUGCUUGGAAGUUAAAUCAAAUGUGCUCAGAAAGGCUGGGCCUGUAAUCCCAGUGAUUAAGGAGGCUGAGGCAGAA